rnacentral:rRNA from 1 species
AAGUAAAUAAUAUUAUUGUACCUUUUGUAUCAGGGUUUAUCAAUUUAAUUUAUUUAUUUAAAUAAUUUUCCCGAAACUGCAAGGGAUAUCAUAAUUUGGUAUUUAUUGUUUUAUAAAUAUUAUGAAAUUUAUGAUAGGUAAUAUAUUUUAUUCAAUUGCUGAUAUCUGGUUUUUUGAUAGAUGAAUUUAAUUCAGGGUUAAUUUAAUUAAUUAUAUAAUUUUAUUUUAUAUUAUUUAUUUAAUCUAAGAUUAAAGGGGAUAAGCUCUUUUUUUAUUUUAUAACUAAUAUUUUAUUAUCUAAAAUUUUGUAGGAUUAACAAUGUCCUUCAUUUGUUUUAAAUAUUUUGUUAUUAUUAUUUUUUUGUUAAUAUAUUUUAAUUUAUUAUUAGUUUAAUUUUUUAUCAAUUCUUUUUAUUUAACAUUAAAAUAUAAUUUAUAAUGAUAAAAUUAGUAAUUUUGUUUAUUUAUUUAUAGUAACUCGGCAAAUUUGAUUUUCACCUGUUUAUCAAAAACAUGUCCUGUUGUUAUUUAUUUCAGGUCAAACCUGCUCAAUGAUUAAUUUAUAAUUAAUUUAAUAGCCGCAGUAUUUUGACUGUGCAAAGGUAGCAUAAUCAUUUGUCUUUUAAUUGAAGGCUUGUAUGAAUGGUUUCAUGAAAUUUCUGCUUUCUUUAUUUAAACUUUUGAAUUUAACUUUUUAGUUAAAAGGCUAAAAUUUAUUUAUGGGACGAGAAGACCCUAUAGAAAUUUAUAUUUAUAUUUGUAUUUACAUUUUUGUUUAUUAAUUAAUAUUUUUAUUUAUUUAAAUAUUUUGUUGGGGCGACUUAGAGAUUUU